AGCGGCCUGACGGGCGGCGUGGGCUGAACGUUUCCAGGGCUGGUGCUGACCACGCCCUGCUGGGUCUCACUCCCACCCACCCCAAACGUGGCUCGGGCAUCACUGGGCGCGACCCACAGGGCUCUCCCAAGGAAGGGCGCGCCUGAGGCCGGCGCGCUCUGCACUCUGGGAGCCGCAUCGGGCGCGCGCGAACGCGUGACCUACUUCUGCGCACACUACACUUCCCUGCGCGCUCCGCGGGGCCGGUAGGCGGCCCAACCACGCAUGCCCGGCAGGGGGACCUGGCCGAGGGUCGGAGCGUAGGAAAAGUUUCCGACGCACUUGCGCACUGCGCGGCGGGCGCCCCCUCCCAUCGCAAGACAGUUCGUCCAAAUCUACCCACUGGGCCAGCUCGCAGUUCGUACCACCCACCGCGUCCGUACGAGGGGCAGAACUUUCCCGAUCUCUCUCCAGUGCCUCCGAAGACUGCUGAAUUAGGGACCUGCUUCCAAUGAGUUUUUCUGGGAGAAAGGGGUGGGCUGGGAUAGACAAGGCCUCGCCCUCCCACCCCCACCCCUGCCGCUGAAUCUGAAUUCCAAAGGUGGACAGCCGCUGUCUGGGGUUGCUGUAAGGACUGACUGUGGACUCCAAGAGAAAGGAGCCUUUUCCACUUAAUGCCAGUAGGCUCGGCUCCAGCACCCCACAGUCAGGAAAGGAAAAGCAGGAACUGGACCCAGUUCUGUCGGCAAUCAGAAGGCCCAACGUCAGGGGGGCUCAAACCUUACCCCACUUCUAAUCCAAGUCUGAAAAAGGAUUUCCAGGGAAAUGGGGAAGGUUCUCAGCUGGGAAGGAAAAACUGCACAUCGGAAACCUGAACACCUAAUAUUUAAAAUUCUGUCUUUUUUGGAGGUCGGACUCGGCGGCAGGGGACGGACGGACCGCGGGCAGGCCGGCCGGCGGCGACAACACUACGAUGGCGGCCCAGAGGGUGGCUCCCGUCGCGGGGCGGAGGACGGACUGCUGUAGUCGGCGGACGACCUGGCCCUCCUGGCCCCGCGUCGCCCGAGCCACUAGCUUUUCUCCGCCCACGACCCGCACCCUCCCGCGCCCCGGCCAGAAGUGAGCAAAGUCAAUGAAAAGUUUCACCCUUAGCAACCCUGCGCACGGAUCCGACUUCCCCACCCCUGCGUGAUGCGUCCCUCCGCCGGCGGGGCGGGGCUGGGCGUCCGGCCGGGACUACUUCCCUGCCGGCCCGCGGAUUAACCCUUCCGGGUCCGUAGCCCGCUGGGCGUGGGACGCAGGCAAAGGCUGCGGGAGUCUCUUUUCUAAACCCUCUCGCGUCGCCACCUCCUCGGCCUGGCUGUCUGUCUUCCCUUCCCCAUCACAACACUGCCGUGCCGUAUUUUCUUGCAGCCUCAA